rnacentral:rRNA from 1 species
CUGAACUUAAGCAUAUCAAUAAGCCGAGGA